CCUACGGGAGGCAGCAGUGGGGAAUCUUGCGCAAUGGGCGAAAGCCUGACGCAGCCAUGCCGCGUGAAUGAUGAAGGUCUUAGGAUUGUAAAAUUCUUUCACCGGGGACGAUAAUGACGGUACCCGGAGAAGAAGCCCCGGCUAACUUCGUGCCAGCAGCCGCGGUAAUACGAAGGGGGCUAGCGUUGCUCGGAAUUACUGGGCGUAAAGGGAGCGUAGGCGGAUAGUUUAGUCAGAGGUGAAAGCCCAGGGCUCAACCUUGGAAUUGCCUUUGAUACUGGCUAUCUUGAGUAUAGGAGAGGUAUGCGGAACUCCGAGUGUAGAGGUGAAAUUCGUAGAUAUUCGGAAGAACACCAGUGGCGAAGGCGGCAUACUGGCCCAUUACUGACGCUGAGGCUCGAAAGCGUGGGGAGCAAACAGGAUUAGAUACCCUGGUAGUCCACGCUGUAAACGAUGAGUGCUAGUUGUCGGCAUGCAUGCAUGUCGGUGACGCAGCUAACGCAUUAAGCACUCCGCCUGGGGAGUACGGUCGCAAGAUUAAAACUUAAAGGAAUUGACGG
rnacentral:rRNA from 1 species